UACGAAGGGGGCUAGCGUUGCUCGGAAUCACUGGGCGUAAAGCGCACGUAGGCGGCUUUUUAAGUCAGGGGUGAAAUCCUGGAGCUCAACUCCAGAACUGCCUUUGAUACUGAGAAGCUUGAGUCCGGGAGAGGUGAGUGGAACUGCGAGUGUAGAGGUGAAAUUCGUAGAUAUUCGCAAGAACACCAGUGGCGAAGGCGGCUCACUGGCCCGGUACUGACGCUGAGGAGCGAAAGCUAGGGGAGCAAACGGG
rnacentral:rRNA from 1 species